AGACAGUACGCACCCAAACAUGAACAGCGUUUUCAGUUUGUCGAUGUGAGGUGGGUUGCAACUAACGUGCUGUGUCGGUCUAUGAUGCUGCACAUGCGCUGAACGGACGCCGCGGAAAACAUUGAGGGGUUACCAAAGACAUGGCGGCCAACAUCGAGCAAAUUUUUCGCGAUUUCGUAGUAAAUAAGAUAAAAGAAAUUGAAGAUGAGAGUCAAGAUAUCAUUCUGACAGAUGAAGGCCAUCCCAAUGGUAAAACUGCAGAAGGAGCAGAUGGGAUCAACAACACACAAGAUAAAGAUGGUGUAGCCAAUAAGGAAGAGGGUGCUGUCCCACAAAAGAAACAUAAGAAGCACAAGAAACACAAGAAACACAAAAGCAAAAAGAAGAAACGUAAGGAAGAGAAAGAGAGCGGCUCAGAAUCAGCAGCAGACUCUGAUGGAGACAAGGCAAAGACUGGGGAAGAGGAUGACGGGAGAUCCAAGCGGCAUAAACGACAUUCUGGGAAGAAGAAGAAAAAAAAGCAGAAGAAAGAUGGUGACAAGUCCAACAGCUCAUCUGGGUCGGAGUCUGAGUCGAAGCCUCAGCCUGGGAACAAGGAGAGCAAACCUCAGGAUCUGCCUGAUAUCAUCCCAAAACUAGAGGAGAAGUGUCCGGAAAAGUCCUCCUCCAGAUGCUCACGGUCUCGUUCAGGCAAGCGCAGGUCCAGAUCCAGGGACAAGAGAGGGAGAUCCAGAUCGAGGUCCGGUAGAAGACAUGGCGGACACACACGUUCCAGAUCACGGCACCGGAGGUCCGGGUCACAUUCUAGAAGGUCUGGGUCUGCCAGGAGAGGCAGGAGAACCCGGUCAAGGUCCCUCGUGAUCUUGAAGAAAGACAGACGGUCUAGAUCGAGAUCCAGAAGGCGAUCAAAAUCUAAGACGAGAUCUCAGUCGAGACACCGAGAGAUGAUUUCAGGAUCUCCCUCUCAGUCCAGAAACGACAAAUCAAAAUCCAGGUCUGCCUCAAGAGACAGCCAAUCAGCCGAGAAGGAUCCCUCUGCGGCCCUGGCUAAAGAUGAGUCCGCUGUGAAAGAUGAAAACGUAAUGGUUCCAAUCGAUCCGCCAGCCCUAGCUUCCGAAAGCAGCAUUGAGGGUGUCGUCAAUAUGGCCACCCCCACUGGAGGAGGGUGGAAGCCGAUACCCUUCUUAGGGGACAACAGUAAGGGAGAGCCAGCCGUUUCCUCCCAGCCCUCUGAAUGUCUGAUGUCUCCACAGAAGUGCCCUAUUCCUCCCGAGGUGCCUUCAGGUGAGCAGCAUGAGGCCUCCACUGACCACCAGUCAACGUCAGCAUCUGAUCUGAACCUCAACAGCCAGCCAACUGAUGAGCCAGGGGAAUCGGAUGGACUUGUUACUUCAGACACCUUGGAUGGCUCUGUAGAUUCCUUACCCCCCAAAACGGAUGCUGAUGGAGGGGACAAGGUGACACCUCAGGGUGAAGAGCUGCCUGCCUCACCUCAACCUAAACCACAGCCAACAUCUGGAGAGGCAGAGACAACAGAGAAGGAAGGAGAAUCUUCAAAGUCCAGGUCUCCUUCAAAGAGGAAAAAGUCAAGGUCAAAGUCUCCUGAUCAGAAGAAACGCUCUGAUGCAAAGUCCUCCAAGAAGAGGAGGUCCAGAUCCAAGUCUCCAGGGAGGAAAAGGAAAUCAAGAUCCUCGUCGCCAAGCCGCAAGAGGAAGUCCAGGACUCCGUCUCGGAGGAAGAAGUCUCGCUCAAAGUCCGGGACGAGAAAGAAGAAAUCACGGUCCAAAUCCAGAACACGGAACAAGCGCUCAAAGUCUAGGUCGCCGAAAAGGAAACGGUCCAAGUCACGGUCUCCUGCUCGGAGGUCAAAGAGAUCGAGGUCACGCUCUGGUUCGCGGCGGAGGGGUAGGGGUGCAUUCGGCAGCCACCAGCUGAGCCAGAGGGACCGCUGGAAGCGUGAGCCAAGCCACUCCCCAGUCCUUAUCCUCCGCAAGAAGAGGUCUCCGGGACGCAACAACCGCGACACCAGCAAAAGCCCGCCACGACUCACAGAGCUGGAUAAAGACCAGUUACUGGAGAUUGCUAAGGCUAAUGCAGCCGCCAUGUGUGCCAAGGCCGGGAUACCCAUCCCAGAGAGCCUGCGACCCAAAGCUGUCCUCCAGCUGCCUUUACCCAGCCCCAACAACCCCAUGUCCUUCUCCAUGCCCAUGAAUAUGAACAUGCCCAUGAACAUGUCUAUGAACAUGCCUAUGAGCAUGACCAUGAAUGCAGCUAUGGCUAGCAUGACAGCUGCCACAAUGACUGCUGCCCUGGCCAGUAUGGGAUCUAUGGCCUCCAUGCACCAGAUGGCCCCGCUCCCCAGCAUCACCAACAAGCCCCCGCCAGGUCCCCCCCAGCCCAACAUGGCCACCAUCGAGGAUGUGAAGAGGAAGGUGGCCAAGCAGGCAAACAGCAUCAGCAUCAAGGAGUUCACUGACAAGUGUAAGAAGAUUGUGGAGAAGGGAGGGGAGCUGGCCCUCGCUGAACCCCGUAUAUCUGACGACGAGGACGACGGCAAACCGUUUGGACGAGCCGCCCUGAGGGAGGUCAAGGGCAUCUCCUUCAGCCUCAAUAACGCAUCCGUGCGUCCAUCGCCGGCGUUGGCGGUUCGGAGCGAGGCGGCGUUCGCCAAGGAGUUCCCCGUGUCGUCGGGCUCCCAGCACAGGAAGAAGGAGGGCGACGGGGGAGGGGCUUACGGAGAGUGGGUGACCGUCGACAAGAAGGUGGAAAAGGCCAAGGUGGCGGCGACCAAGGCAUUGGCAACGGCUGCCAAGGAAACUUCGCCUGGGGAUGCGCCUUUGUCUGUGGUUUCCAUGGCAACAGAGGAGCCGGCGGUCGUCAAGGAGAGUGAUAGUGUGUUCCCGGAGCCGCCGCUACAGCCUGUAGACAUCACCCAGGCAGUUGGUGAGAGGAUGAAGGCCCAGAAGCGUCUGGCCGAGAACCCACACGACGUCAGUGCCAUCUGCAUGCUCAGCCGUGCUCAGGAACAGGUGGAUGCAUGGGCCCAGUCCAACACCAUCCCUGGUCUGUUUACAGGUUCUACUGGAGCAACGGUGCUCAGCUCAGAGGAGCUGUCCAACAGCGGACCACAGGCCUGGAUUAAAAAGGUACCGUCCACUGUCUUACCUGCUCCCCACCCCAAACAUACCACCCCACUACCCUACAGGUGUCUGCAUCGCCCAUGCCCACUGGUGUACCCACUUCACACGCCUUCCUCAGCCUGCUCCCUAAUCACCACCCAGCCCUAGUCAAAUAACUGAAUGGCUGUACGCAUAGUGCCAGAGACAUAUACUGUAUAAAGUUUAACAAAUGUUCUGUUGAUGUAGAACAAACUGGGUUAGAAUGGAGUAGUUCCACUGUUACUCAGUGGAAUCCAGGUCAGUUUUAAGGGCCCCGAAACGUGGGGUUCACUGCUACUAUGGCCACCCUUGUCAGUGCUAACGCACAUAGUUUACUGGUGUGUGUGUGAGUGAGCAUCUGUCUGUAUUGUGUGUUUCUGUCUGCGUCAGAAAAAGAUGCUCUGGCGGUAAAGGAAGCCUCUUGUUUAUGUUGCCUGAUAUUUGCACUGCAGUUUGUAACAGUGGUAACAUGAUGAACCCAGACUUUAAUCUUUAAUCUGACAUACAGACAUGAACAAAAAUCUCCCUGCACUUCAAUCACCCCCCACAACACACACACACACACACAUUCUGACUAAUUACAUUUCCUGUGAAGUGGGUACACCAUGUUAAGGGUAGCAAUGCAGAUUCCUUACAUGUGACAUUCUUACCAAAGCAGGUGCAAAUGCAGUACUGACACCCGUCUACUAGUGGUGCGCUGGUCUGACACCCGUCUACUAGUGGUGCGCUGGUCUGACACCCGUCUACUAGUGGUGCGCUGGUCUGACACCCGGCUACUAGUGGUGCUCUGGUCUGACACCCGGCUACUAGUGGUGCUCUGGUCUGACACCCGGCUACUAGUGGUGCUCUGGUCUGACACCCGGCUACUAGUGGUGCUCUGGUCUGACACCCGGCUACUAGUGGUGCUCUGGUCUGACACCCGGCUACUAGUGGUGCUCUGGUCUGACACCCGGCUACUAGUGGUGCUCUGGUCUGACACCCGGCUACUAGUGGUGCUCUGGUCUGUGCACUAAAUAGAGUCCCCCUCGGAGUUGGAAUAGGGACUUGGAGAAUGAAAGAGGGAGGGAGGGGAGGAAGAGGAGAGCUGGAAGUAAGUCUGCAGACCCAAGAACCCCCCCCCCCUUGUCCUCUAGCACCCCAGGGCAAGGAAGAGAUCAUGGGUCCGUCUCAGUAGUCUAAAGAUGCUUCCUCGUCUCUUUCCUUGGAUUCACACUGAUGUCAGAACAGGGGAAAGGGAAAAGCACUAUUCUUUCACCUAUCCUGCCUUUUCAGAUCAGGUCAGAUGUUAUUGGGGAUGGUAGGUGAGGAAGUGACUUUAGACUAUUCAGAUGCACCCCAAGACCGGUUACUAUAGUCUCUACCGUCACGCUGUCUCCCUAAUGCGGUGUCUCCCUAUCACUCCCCCACACCCAGUCACACAGAAUGUCAUCAGGCCCGGAGAUAACCAUAGUCCUCUGUCUGUGGACCCCGUCUGAACCCUCCUACCCUGUAGUGUUUCUAUAGUGGGCUGUUUGAAGCCAGUGGGUGUAACUACCCCAAGCCUCCCUGAACUCUGCAAACACACAGAGACAGGGGGCUACUGUUUUAAACGACACAUCCUGAGGAAUCUCUCUCUCGGGAUAGGUUACACAUUGUCACAUCAUUUAGCUAUAGAGAGAGUGAUGGAUCUGCUGAGUUCAUUCUUCAUUUAAUAUGACACAUCCUUCACAUGCAGAUGCCAUGGACAUAUGCUGUGGACAUGUUCAGAGACAUGAUAUAGGGAUGAGAGUGCAUUGAUCAUACUAAUGUUGGUGACAUGCAUUUUGCUAGCAUUACAGCAGCUAACAUUGAUUUACAGCACGCUAGCAUUACAGCAGCUAACAUUGAUUUACAGCACGCUAGCAUUACAGCAGCUAACAUUGAUUUACAGCACGCUAGCAUUACAGCAGCUAACAUUGAUUUACAGCACGCUAGCAUUACAGCAGCUAACAUUGAUUUACAGCACACUAGCAUGACAGCAGCUAACAUUGAUUUACAGCACACUAGCAUUACAGCAGCUAACAUUGAUUUACAGCACACUAGCAUGACAGCAGCUGACAUUGAUUUACAGCACACUAGCAUUACAGCAGCUGACAUUGAUUUACAGCACACUAGCAUUACAGCAGCUAACAUUGAUUUACAGCACACUAGCAUUACAGCAGCUAACAUUGAUUUACAGCACACUAGCAUUACAGCAGCUAACAUUGAUUUACAGCACACUAGCAUUACAGCAGCUAACAUUGAUUUACAGCACACUAGCAUUACAGCAGCUGACAUUGAUUUACAGCACACUAGCAUGACAGCAGCUAACAUUGAUUUACAGCACGCUAGCAUUACAGCAGCUGGACUGUAAUGUUUGUGUGGUUGUUGGGUGCCCCUAGAAACCAGUCCUGGUGCAUUCUGUUUCCCAGUAGAUGAGCAGGGUCUAGUUUUAGACCAGUCAGUGGUCUCCAACCCUAGUCUAGGCUGAGAGUAUAGAGUCGUAGUGUCGUAUAGGUUAGGGCUAUAACAAAAACCUGCACACUAGCUCCAGGAUCUCAAUUGGAGACCACUGCCUGAGGGAGAACUCUGUUCUGAGGGACCUAGGCUAGUUACAGGUGUCCAUGGACAUGCCUGUGCUCUUUCCCUUGCCCUGGGGGAGGCUGCGGUCAGAAGUUGCUCCUAGUCACCAAUCUAGGAUCAGCGUCCCUUCCGCAAAUCCUAACUCCAAGCUGACCUAGGUGUCUAGGGGCAACUUCCUCCCAGUCCUUGGGGCAGCUUGAGGAAGGGGGUCGAUAAGAGGGGUCUGGAUUGGAGCAGAGGGAGAGAGGUGUGGGUUCACAGGGGUGACCUGUGAACUUUCACCUCUCUGUGUAUUGGACACUUGUUUCAGGGUCAGUCCUUGUAGCUGUCCUUGUUGCCAUGGCCACAGUCAGGCCCCCCUCUCAUUUCCUGUUUGAUGCUGGGCCGGUGAUGAGGGGCUAGGACCAGUUCUUGCGAGCAGCCCCGGUGUCGGGAGGAGUAGGGGAGUUUCUCAUGAGAAAGAUGGGAUGGCGGACAGGGGAGGGGCUAGGGCGACACCGCGAGGGCACCGUCGAGCCAAUCAUCAUCGACUUCAAGACCGACCGCAAAG